rnacentral:rRNA from 1 species
UGCGGUAUCCGACCGUGCUAAGGUAGCAUAAUCAUUCGCCCUCUAAUUAAGGGAUUGUAUGAAUGGGUAAACGUAAAAGAAACUGUCUCUCGUGUAAAUAUAAAAACUAACUUUCAGGUGAAGAGGCCUGAUUACCUAUAAAGGACAAAAAGACCCUAUUGAGCUUUAUUAAAUUCGAAUUACUAUUUCCCUCUCUGUACAAAAAAGCCUUCCUUAUAAUUUGGUUGGGGCGACCAAGGAAUUACCCCUACUUCCUUAAAAAAAAAGAUCUCCUAAUCUCUAUAAAGAGCCGUUCUGCGAUUCUUGGACUAAGCUACCAUAGGGAUAACAGGCUAAUCCUUCUUAAGAGUCCACAUUGACAGAAGGGCUUGGCACCUCGAUGUUGGCUUAGGACAAGCCU